GAUGAACGCUAGCGGCAGGCUUAAUACAUGCAAGUCGAGGGGCAGCACGGUUAGCAAUAACUGGUGGCGACCGGCGCACGGGUGCGUAACACGUAUACAAUCUACCUUAAACAGGGGGAUAGCCUUUCGAAAGAGAGAUUAAUACCCCGUAAUAAAUUGAACGGCAUCGUUUGAUUUUGAAAGCUCCGGCGGUUUGAGAUGAGUAUGCGUCUGAUUAGCUAGUUGGUGAGGUAACGGCUCACCAAGGCGACGAUCAGUAGGGGAUCUGAGAGGACUAACCCCCACACUGGUACUGAGACACGGACCAGACUCCUACGGGAGGCAGCAGUAAGGAAUAUUGGUCAAUGGAGGCAACUCUGAACCAGCCAUGCCGCGUGCAGGAUGACGGCCCUAUGGGUUGUAAACUGCUUUUAUACAAGAGAAAACCCUGGUACAUGUACCAGGUUGAUAGUAUUGUAAGAAUAAGCAUCGGCUAACUUCGUGCCAGCAGCCGCGGUAAU
rnacentral:rRNA from 1 species